CUUCUGAUAAGAGCAGAGAGCAGGUGAGUGUUACAAAUUCUAACUGCACCUCAGUUGCCUGCUUCCCACUGAGUUCUUUGCACAUGUCUCCCUUUAGGGUUAUGACGACACUUCUAUUAGCACCACUUAAUCAGUCGUGUUGAGUUCUGUGUUACAUCCAUCCCUCCUCUCCUGCAGGUUGGUGCACGCUCAGUCCAAAGGCUUAGAGCCUGCAGUCCAGUGAAGGUCUUCCCACCUCUGCCACAGAAAGUACAGCACGCUCAGGACUUCGGCAUGAAUAAUGCACUCUGGGGAAUGCUUUGCAGAAAGUAAUUAAUGAGCCUGGCUUUCAUUCCUGAGUUGCUAGAGAAUUACCAAGCAGACGACCAUGGAAACUCUCCACAGAAAAUAAUACUUGAAACAGUGCACUUCCUCAGAGCAGUUUACCACCAGAGCCUUCUCUAACGGCUGGUGGGUCAUUGCCUGUUUACCUUGGAUCUGGUCCAUGCCUGUAUUCUGAGUUUCCUGAUGGAGCUGCUUUGGGCCUCCCAGUAGGAAGAAAAGUUCCUGCUCCCUGGACGCUGCCACUGAUGUUUGUUCACCUGACUCCCCACCUGUACCCACUGUAGCUAUAUGUUACCACAUUUCAUCAGGUUCUUUCUCCUGAAACACUGCCAAAUGCCACCUCACCUUUAUAGCCUGAAAGGAAAGUCAGUAAACUUGCACCAAACCUGAUCUCGGCUUCCUGAGCCAAACUUUUGUAACCUGCUUAGAGAUCCUGAGCUGUGGCAGGAGCAUUUCAGCCUGAAGGAAGGAGGUGUUGGACACUACUCCAACCCAGGAAUCCCCUGGAUUCCCCCACUGCUGCAGGCCAGGAGGUGGGCUGUGCCUCCAAGCAUUAAUAACCCAAAGAACAGUUUUUACUCCAUUGUCUCUCUAAAAAUUGGUAUAAAUGAAAGCUACUCAAAAUAUGGAGGAAAAAAAAAUAGUAGCAAAGCUUAACUUUGUAGAAGUAUCACUUGAGGAUAAAUGCACCAAUAUUUGUGGGAUUCUCAGCCUCUGGGUCCUGGAGGUUAUGGCAAUGACAGGCAGCUGUCAAUUCAAGCACAGGGAAAUAAAAUACCUGAAAAAUAUCAAAGUCAAUAGGUUACCUGCAGGUAAUUUGGAGAUGGGAGGUUUGUCAUGUGUUUUAGAUGUUGCCUGUCAAGUUUUUAUGAGGCUCUCAAGGCCUAGCUUACAACUUUGUGCUUGCACAACCCAGUUGUGGU
ensembl:lncRNA